rnacentral:rRNA from 1 species
ACACCUACGGGACGCAGCAGUAGGGAAUUUUCGUCAAUGGGCGCAAGCCUGAACGAGCGAUGCCGCGUGAGUGAAGAAGGCCUUCGGGUCGUAAAGCUCUGUUGCGGGGGAAAAAAGGCAGCACCAGGAAAUGGGUGCUGACUGAUGGUGCCCCGCCAGAAAGUCACGGCUAACUACGUGCCAGCAGCCGCGGUAAUACGGAGGAUGCGAGCGUUAUCCGGAUUUAUUGGGUUUAAAGGGUGCGCAGGCGGCACGGCAAGCCGGCGGGCAAAUCGCGGGGCUCAACCCCGCCCAGCCGUCGGAAC